rnacentral:rRNA from 1 species
GCGAGAACUCCAGAGUUGGAACACACUCCGAAAGGGGCGCAUAGCAUUAAUAAUCCCAUCUCACCAUGGUUCAUCACCGCGUUAGCACCCCUGCGGGGAUCAUCUCGGAGGGGGCUCGCUUUUUCACACAAAACCCCCCUUUUAAAAGUGUAGAAUGACCUCAUUUAUGCGCUAACCCGCAAUCAAUACAACUUUCAACAACGGAUCUCUUGGCUCUCGCAUCGAUGAAGAACGCAGCGAAAUGCGAUACGUAAUGUGAAUUGCAGAAUUCAGUGAAUCAUCGAAUCUUUGAACGCACCUUGCGCCCCCUGGUAUUCCGAGGGGCACACCCGUUUGAGUGUCGUGAAAACCUCAACCUCCUUGGUUUCUUCUGGAGACCAAAGCAGGCUUGGACUUUGGAGGCCUUUGCUGGCACCUCUCGCCAGCUCCUCUUAAAUGAAUUAGCAGGGUCCUCUUUGCUGAUCCUCGACGUGUGAUAAGAUGUUUCCAUGUCUUGGUUUCUGGCUCUGUCACCUUUGGGACCCGCUUCUAACCGUCUUCAACCUUGCGUUGAGACAACGUUCGAGCAUGUCUCCCUUCUCGGGAAGCUCCCUCGACCCCACGAACCCUUGACCUCAAAUCGGGUGAGACUACCCGCUGAACUUAAGCAUAUCAAUAAGCGGAGA